GACGAACGCUGGCGGCAUGCCUUACACAUGCAAGUCGAACGGCAGCACGGGGGCAACCCUGGUGGCGAGUGGCGGACGGGUGAGUAAAGCAUCGGAACGUAUCCUGGAGUGGGGGGAUAACGUAGCGAAAGUUACGCUAAUACCGCAUAUUCUGUGAGCAGGAAAGCAGGGGAUCGCAAGACCUUGCGCUCUGGGGGCGGCCGAUGUCGGAUUAGCUAGUUGGUGGGGUAAAGGCCUACCAAGGCGACGAUCCGUAGCGGGUCUGAGAGGAUGAUCCGCCACACUGGGACUGGGACACGGCCCAGACUCCUACGGGAGGCAGCAGUGGGGAAUUUUGGACAAUGGGCGGAAGCCUGAUCCAGCCAUGCCGCGUGAGUGAAGAAGGCC
rnacentral:rRNA from 1 species